GUCACCCUCACUGGGGAUCAGAUGCUUCCAGAAGGUUUUUUACUCAAUUUUCUGCCACAUUCCUCUGAAGUAGUAAUUGUCUCCAUAACCAAAGAGGUAGAAAUUGUCCCCGUAACCACUGAGGCCAAGAGAGAUAACCGUCCAAACAAAGAUUGUGUUCUUUUCUCCACCCAGACUGACGUGUGUGUGUGUGUGUGUGUGUGUGUGUGUGUGUUAGUUACUAGGUAUUUAACACAGAUGUGCUCUACCUCUGAGCUACAUCUCCAGCCCAGUUUUUUACUUUCUUUUGAGACAGGGUCUGGUCUUCACUACAAUCCUAAGAGUACAGGCAUGUGCCACCACACCUAGCAGCCUGGCUCUUUUGAAGCAAAGGUAUAAAGUUGAGGCAGGCAGGAGGAGAUGGCAGAGUACACCUUAAGGAAAUCACCUUCAGAGGUGAUAAUUUGAAUUGACCUCAAAGCAAACAAACUCUAGACUUCCUGUUCAUAGGAAGACUCACUAAAACUCACAGCAGGGCCCUAAGCUAUGUCACUUUAGUCAUGUAUUUCUGUAACUUUGCGAAAGUAAUCAACUUAGGGAUACAUGUAUUUUGGAUUUGGUGAAAAAAUGUUUGCAUGGAUUCCAUCACUUGCAUUAUAGUUAAGUUACUAUCUGCUGUCCUGGUGUGGGAAAGGCUUCCUGGAAGAGCCUUUCACUGGAUGUCCGGACAGCCAUGUACUGGCCAUAUUCUUCAUAUGACUAUGUGCUAUGAAGUCUGACACAAAAAGCAUCAGCAAAGUGAAAGAGAAACAGGUUUAAAAUGUAC
rnacentral:lncRNA from 1 species